GUGUAGCAUGAAAGGAGAGACGGUUAGCACUCCCCUCGACAAGGAUGGACACAAAUACGCUUAAGGCACCUUAAGCACAUUUUUUU
rnacentral:ncRNA from 1 species